rnacentral:sRNA from 1 species
AACUAGACCUGAUUGAAAUGGCAUUCCGGUAUCUGAACUAAUUUGUCUUUAUCGAAAAUUCACCGGAAUAUAAUGGAAAGCAGGACUACAG